rnacentral:rRNA from 1 species
GGUGAACGCUGGCGACGUGGAUAAGGCAUGCAAGUCGAACGGGUUUAGACCCGUGGCAGACGAGGUAGUAAUGCAUAGGUACGUACCCCAAAGUCGAGCAUAACCCGCCGAAAGGCGGAGCAAUUCUCGAUAGUCUCGCAAGAGUAAAGUUUUAACGCUUUGGGAACGGCCUGUGUGGUAUCAGCUUGUUGGUAGUGUAAAGGACUACCAAGGCUAUGACGCCUAGGGGAGGUGAGAGCCUGACCCCCACCGAUGGAACUGAGAACGGUCCAUACUCCUACGGGAGGCCGCAGUCGAGAAUCUUCCGCAAUGGACGAAAGUCUGACGGAGCGACGUCGCGUGGUUGAUGAAGUCCUUCGGGAUGUAAAGACCUUUUAUGAAGGAGAAAGUGCGUUUUUGACGUAUUGAUGUUACUUCAUGAAUAAGGGGCUGCUAACUCUGUGCCAGCAGCAGCGGUAAUACAGAGGCCCCAAGCGUUACCCGGAAUCACUGGGCGUAAAGAGUAUGUAGGCGGUUGUAUUAGUCUUCUGUUAAAUUUCUGCGCUUAACGCAGAGUCCGCAGGGGAAACGGUACAACUAGAGGGUGUGAGAGGUUUAUGGAACUCAUAGUGUAGGGGUGAAAUCCGUUGAUAUUAUGGGGAACACCAAAAGCGAAGGCAAUAAACUAGCACAUUCCUGACGCUGAGAUACGAAAGCGUGGGUAGCGAAUGGGAUUAGAUACCCCAGUAGUCCACGCCCUAAACGAUGUCUGUUAGCUCUUUGGAGUAUCGACCCUCUGAGGGGCAAAGCUAACGCGUUAAACAGACCGCCUGGGUAGUACGGCCGCAAGGCUAAAACUCAAAGGAAUAGACGGGGGCUCGCACAAGCGGUGGAUCAUGUGGCUUAAUUCGAUGCUACACGAAGAACCUUACCAAGACUUGAAAUCCAAAUGACGAUCUUAGGAAACUAAGAUUUCCUUCGGGCAUUUGGGCAGGUGUUGCAUGGCCGUCGUCAGUUCGUGAUUUGAAUUGUUCCCUUAAGUGGGGAAACGAACGCAACCCCUAUUGCCUGUUAUACGUGUCAGGCGAGACUGCUACCUCACGGUAGAGGAAGGUGGGGAUGACGCCAGGUCAGCAUGACCCUUUGAUGUCUUGGGCUGCACACAUGAUACAAUGGGUACUACAACGGGACGCAAUAUCGUAAGAUGGAGCAAAUCCUAAUAAAGGUAUCCUAAGUUCGGAUUGAGGUCUGCAAUUUGACCUCAUGAAGUUGGAAUCGCUAGUAAUCGCAGGUCAGCUAUACUGCGGUGAAUACGUUCUCGAGCCUUGUACUCACCGCCCGUCAAGUCAAGGAAGCCGGGAGUGCUCAAGUCCCAUUUCGGUGGGCCUACAGUAAACUCGGUAACAGGGGCU